UCGAAAGACGAGGUUGCCGGCUGUGUGACACAAUCGAUCACCAGUUCUCGAUCUUGUUCCUC
rnacentral:pre_miRNA from 1 species